rnacentral:rRNA from 1 species
GAUGAACGCUGGCGGCGUGCCUAAUACAUGCAAGUCGAGCGAACAGACGAGGAGCUUGCUCCUCUGACGUUAGCGGCGGACGGGUGAGUAACACGUGGAUAACCUACCUAUAAGACUGGGAUAACUUCGGGAAACCGGAGCUAAUACCGGAUAAUAUAUUGAACCGCAUGGUUCAAUAGUGAAAGACGGUUUUGCUGUCACUUAUAGAUGGAUCCGCGCCGCAUUAGCUAGUUGGUAAGGUAACGGCUUACCAAGGCAACGAUGCGUAGCCGACCUGAGAGGAUGAUCGGCCACACUGGAAAUGAGACAAGGUACAGACUCCUACGGGAGGCAGCAGUAGGGAAUCUUCAGAAAUGGGCGAAAGCCUGACGGAGAAACGACGCGUGAGUGAUGAAGGUCUUCGGAUAGUAAAACUCUGUUAUUAGGGAAGAACAAAUGUGUAAGUAACUAUGCACGACUUGACGGUACCUAAUCAGAAAGCCACGGAUAAAUACGUG